AUGACAUAUUGCAAGAAUAUGAAGCCAUUGGCUUAUUUUUUUAACUGGGCAGAUGCAAAUGCGCUGGCCUUCAUGAUUCCGGGACCUAGAAUCAUACCAAUUGAUGGGCUUCAAUACCAUAUAACUGGAAUUAACCGAUUCAAGUCCAAGAAGGAUUGGCCGGUGCUGCCGGCUGGCGUCAAGUUUGAUCCCACGGAUCAGGAGCUGAUCGAGCACCUUGAGGCCAAAGUGAGUGCUGACAGCGCGAGAUCUCACCCUCUCAUCGAUUUGUUCAUACCAACCAUUGACAGCAAGCACGGCAUAUGCUACACCCAUCCUGAGAAACUUCCAGGUAUCACACUGAGUGGCCUAACCAAGCAUUUCUUCCAUCGCAACUCCAAGGCGUUCAAAAGGGGCACGUGGACGCGUCACAAGAUGCAGUCAGAGUGCGGCAUGCACGCGAUGUGGCACAAGACCGGCAAUACCUUGUUGGUGAUGGUCAACAACCGGUAG
rnacentral:rRNA from 1 species